rnacentral:rRNA from 1 species
AAUCAACGCUGGCGGCGUGCUUAACACAUGCAAGUCGAACGAGAAGGGAGCAAUCCCUGAGUAAAGUGGCGUACGGGUGAGUAACACGUGGAUCAUCUACCUCUUAAGUGGGGAAUAACGUCUGGGAAACCGGAGCUAAUACCGCAUAAGCCUGGAAAGGGAAAGUGACGUUCUUCAAAAACGACACGCUGAGAGAGGAGUCCGCGGCCGAUUAGCUAGUUGGCAGGUAAAGCCUACCAAGGCAUUGAUCGGUAGCCGGCCUGAGAGGCACACGGCCACACUGGCACUG